GACGAACGCUGGCGGCGGGCUUAACACAUGCAAGUCGAACGGAAAGGCCCUGCUGUUUUCUGGUGCUCGAGUGGCGAACGGGUGAGUAACACGUGAGUAGCCUACUCCUGACUGUGGGAGAACUUCAGGAAACUGGGGCUAAUACCGGAUAGGAGCUCCUGCUGCAUGGUGAGGGGUGGAAAGUUUCGGCGGUUGGUGCUGGACUCGCGGCUUAUCAGCUUGUUGGUGGGGUAGUGGCUUACUAAGGGUUUGCCGGGUAGCCGGCCUUGGAGGGUGACCGGCCACAUUGGGACUGAGAUACGGCCCAGACUCCUACGGGAGGCAGCAGUGGGAAAUAUUGCACAAUGGGCGGAAGCCUGAUGCAGCAACGCCGCGUGCGGGAUGACGGCCUUCCGGUUGUAAACCGCUUUCGCCUGUGACGAAGCGUGAGUGACGGUAAUGGGUAAAGAAGCACCGGCUAACUACGUG
rnacentral:rRNA from 1 species